ACCGGUUUAGCUCAGUUGGUUAGGUGAAACUACAGCGUCAGUUUAACAUGCUGAAGGUCACAAGUUCGAAUGUAACAAUACCUUGUAACCGGUA
rnacentral:tRNA from 1 species